rnacentral:rRNA from 1 species
GACGAACGCUGGCGGCGUGCUUAACACAUGCAAGUCGAGCGGUAAGGCCUUUCGGGGUACACGAGCGGCGAACGGGUGAGUAACACGUGGGUGAUCUGCCCUGCACUUCGGGAUAAGCCUGGGAAACUGGGUCUAAUACCGGAUAUGACCUCCUAUCGCAUGGUGGGUGGUGGAAAGAUUUAUCGGUGCAGGAUGGGCCCGCGGCCUAUCAGCUUGUUGGUGGGGUAAUGGCCUACCAAGGCGACGACGGGUAGCCGACCUGAGAGGGUGACCGGCCACACUGGGACUGAGACACGGCCCAGACUCCUACGGGAGGCAGCAGUGGGGAAUAUUGCACAAUGGGCGAAAGCCUGAUGCAGCGACGCCGCGUGAGGGAUGACGGCCUUCGGGUUGUAGACCUCUUUCAGCAGGGACGAAGCGAAAGUGACGGUACCUGCAGAAGAAGCACCGGCUAACUACGUG